GGGAAGAUCUGGAUGGGACUGAAGAGAGAUUCUUCAUCUCAUCCGCGCGUGGAAGAAUACACAAUCCCUCCAAUGACCUCCGACGGCUGCACAUAAGGUAUGGCGUCAGACCAUGGGUGACCAGCCAGAGAGCACGCCGGGCCUUCGAGACAGCCACCAAGAGUCUGACUGACACAGAAGUAUCUGGUGGCUGACUACGUAACACAUUCGACUGCUACAGCGGAGAAACAUUACCGCGUGAAGCGGGCGGACAACGCAGUGAGGGCUAGUCAGCUCCUGGAUUCGCUGGCUGGUCAGUCAACCAUUGAUCCUUCAGAAGGGGAAUCCAGCCUGUAGCAUUGCUCGCGGUGCUGCCCAGCAGAAAGCAGACACGACAGAUCUGCAAACGGAUCUUGAGUCAGCGUACGGCCGACUUGUCGAACAGCACCCGGUGACUCUGGGGGGUGAGGCGCCAGAUAAGACUCUGCGUGCUGAAAUCUCAGCUAGCUUUCAGCGGAAGCUGUAUGAGCGAUUGUUUGAAGGCCCAGAUGAAACUGCACAAGCAGCAUAUUCACUGUAUUCACAAGUAUUUUUUGAAACUAUAUUUAAAGAUAUUUACCAAGUAACAUGAAAGAUUGUUAGUUAAGACUAUACUUGACAACUUUGAACAUGGCAUGUUUUCUUGAUGGCGCCCUUUGGCCCUCGUCUACCCAGUCAGGAACAGGUCAGCAAGUGGAGGACCAACAUACCCAGUGCAGCCCAGUUCGUGAAGAAUGGAAGCCCCCUGGAUCCAUGGACACAGCAAUGGACGCUAAACAAAGCCGGACACGCACCAGGACACAAGUGAAAGGACUUAUUGUGACAGAAGAUGAAGGGCAAGGGCAUUAUUGCAACGUAAAGAUUUCUGGCUGGCGAGGUGGUGUGUGACCAUCACGGGCAGGUCAUCACCGCCUCAGAGGGACACAGCGCUCACAGCACUGUAAGUGUGGAGGACGGUCUUCAGGUUUUUUUCGAGAACAUGAAUGGACAGGCUAUGUGCAUCUAUCAAGACUCUAAAAUCAUGAAUCAUGCAUCUAAUAUCUUUGUGCCCUGCGAGGGACUGGCACCCUGUCCAGCGUGUACCCUGCCUUGUGCCUGAUGCUUCCUGGGAUAGGCUCCAGGUUCCCCCGCAACCCUGAAAAGGAGUAAGCAGUUGAGGAUGGAUCUAAUAUCAGGUUUAUAGUAGCACUUAUCGAAUAUCGUAGCUACUAUAUUGUAUCGAAUAUCAUGAGUCUUAAUUGGUCCCAUUAGAGCACAGUGAAAUUCUUUUCUUUGCCCCCCUUAAGGACCUUGCUCAAGGGUCCAACAGUUCCAGCUUGGCAUUGCUGGGGCUUGAACCACCGACCUUCCCAUCAUAGCCUUAACCGCUAUGCCACCAAUGCCACAUCGAUAAUAAACUUUGAGCACAGCUUGACAGUGUAAACUUAAAUUCUUGUUAUAAAUUGUAUUUAUACACUCAUGCACAUACAUUUUGUUUACAGAGGAGUAUUUACACACAUUCACACAUUUGUAACCAAAGGAAGUCUAACCCCAUUUCCUAUAAAAGAUUUUCUUUGAGCACCGUAAUCAAACGCUUGUGUUUAUUUGUGUUUCCUUCAGUGGAUUUUCUCUGUAUUUUGAUCUUCAGAGUUCUUUAUUGUACUCAUGGUCUCAUUUUGAAGGUUUGCUGAGCGCAACAUUGUCCACUGCUUGCGGUGCAAGAAGCCGCAGAAGCAUCUCGCUGGCCACCUGCUAGAGUGUGUAUGAAAGACAGCACAGCAGAAGAAAGGCAAGCUGAGAUCCAGAAGGCCAAGGUAUCUUCCAGACGGUGGGUCUGCAGGAACAGGACCUGGGACUACCGCCAGCUUUGUUCUAUCCUGCCCCACAGUCCGUGUGCUUCUUUACUGGUGGAAGAGUUUCAGAGGCGUGGGUUCUUUAUCACCAACAUGCCACAAGAGUCAGACAUGGCUAUGGACUCCGGUGAUGCCGCCUCCUCACAACAGGGUUCGCCUUCUGAUCAGAG